rnacentral:tRNA from 1 species
AAAAGCUUAAGUUAAAAAAACUAAGGGCCUUCAAAGCCCUAAACAAGGACUGACCCUCCUUAGCUUUUG